GAAUGCUGACAUAAGUAACGAUAAAGCGGGUGAAAAGCCCGCUCGCCGGAAGACCAAGGGUUCCUGUCCAACGUUAAUCGGGGCAGGGUGAGUCGACCCCUAAGGCGAGGCCGAAAGGCGUAGUCGAUGGGAAACGGGUUAAUAUUCCCGUACUUGGUGUUACUGCGAAGGGGGGACGGAGAAGGCUAUGUUGGCCGGGCGACGGUUGUCCCGGUUUAAGCGUGUAGGUGUGUGUUCCAGGUAAAUCCGGUUCACUUUAACACUGAGGCGUGAUGACGAGGCACUACGGUGCUGAAGCAACAAAUGCCCUGCUUCCAGGAAAAGCCUCUAAGCAUCAGGUAACAUCAAAUCGUACCCCAAACCGACACAGGUGGUCAGGUAGAGAAUACCAAGGCGCUUGAGAGAACUCGGGUGAAGGAACUAGGCAAAAUGGUGCCGUAACUUCGGGAGAAGGCACGCUGACACGUAGGUGAAGUGAUUUACUCACGGAGCUGAAGUCAGUCGAAGAUACCAGCUG
rnacentral:rRNA from 1 species